ensembl:lncRNA novel transcript
GGAGACCCCCAGGUCUCCAGGGGUCAAACCACACCCCACAGGCACCUUGGAAGAAGAAAUCCACAGGAGGAAAAAAAGAAGAUUUGCUGAGCACCUACUAUGCAUCAGACGCUGUGUUCUAGGCAAGGGGGAUACACCUGAUGGAAGAAGGUCCUUCCCUAGACGUAGCUAACAUCCCAGUGUGGGAGAUGACACGAAACAGUAUGCCCAUGUAAGUUCUGGCCAAUGGAAAAUGUUGUGUGUGACUUCCAGAAAAUGUCUUAAAAGGGAAGGUAAACACCUUCCUCCACCAGUCCUCCACACUUUCUGGAAUUUGAGACAUGAUGACUACAUCUCAAGCAGCUCGGACCAUGUGAUAAUUUAAAGAUGGCUGUGGAUUCUUUGAUCCUCCUCCCUUUGAGAGGAGUCAAUUUCCCCUGUACUUAAAUCUGGGCUGACCUGUGACUUCUUUGACCAAUAGAGUAUGGUGGAAAUGAUGUCACGCCCACUCCAGGCCUAACCUCUAGGAGGACUGGCAGUUUCUGCUAUGGCCUCUGGGAGCCAUGAGCUGCCAUGAAAAAGGUCAAACUACUCUGCUGGAGACACCCACCUGGAGAAGCCCUGGGAUUCCAUGGAGAGGCAGACGGACCCAGCUGAGCUCAGUGUUCCAGCCAUCCCCACGAAAGCACCAGGAACCUGAGUGAAACCAUCUCGAUCCUCCAGCAUAGCACAAUCAGCAGCUGAAGAUCACUGAGUGACUCUAGUCGGCGCUCCAUGGAUCACUGAAGGAUCACCCAGCUGAGCCCUGCGCAAAUUUCUGACUCACAAAACUGUAGACGAUACAAUGGUUGUUGUUUGGGGGCAGUUUGUUAUGCUGUAGCAAUAAAUAGCCAGAAGAGACCAAGAGGCAGAA